rnacentral:rRNA from 1 species
AACGAACGCUGGCGGCAUGCCUAACACAUGCAAGUCGAACGAGACCUUCGGGUCUAGUGGCGCACGGGUGCGUAACGCGUGGGAACCUGCCCUUAGGGUCGGAAUAACUCCCCGAAAGGGGUGCUAAUACCGGAUAAUGUCUUCGGACCAAAGAUUUAUCGCCUUUGGAUGGGCCCGAGUUGCAUUAGCUAGUUGGUAGGGUAAAAGCCUACCAAGGCGACGAUCAAUAGCUGGUCUGAGAGGCUGAUCAGCCACACUGGGACUGAGACACGGCCCAGACUCCUACGGGAGGCAGCAGUGGGGAAUAUUGGAAAAUGGGCGGAAGCAUGAUCCAGCAAUGCCGCGUGAGUGAUGAAAGCAUUAGGGUUGUAAAGCUCUUUUAACUGUGAUGAUAAUGACAGUACCGGGUGAAUAAGCCCCGGCUAACUCCGUG